UUGAAAUAAACCUGAUAGGUUGUUGCUGGUUCUCUCGGGAGCAUGUGCACACUUGUCAUUUUUAUAUCUCCACCUGUGCACCUUUUGUAAAUCUGAAUAGCUUUCUGAAUGCUUCGGCAUUCAGGUCUUGAGGAUUGAUCUUUUUCUUUUCUCACAUUUCCAGGUUUAUGUUUUUCAUAUACCCCAAGUAUGUUACAGAAUGUUAUAAACGGGCCUUUGUGCCCAUAAAUUUAUAUA
rnacentral:misc_RNA from 1 species